GACGAACGCUGGCGGCGUGCCUAAUACAUGCAAGUUGAGCGAUGAAGAUUGGUGCUUGCACCAAUUUGAAGAGCAGCGAACGGGUGAGUAACGCGUGGGGAAUCUGCCUUUGAGCGGGGGACAACAUUUGGAAACGAAUGCUAAUACCGCAUAAUAACUUUAAACAUAAGUUUUAAGUUUGAAAGAUGCAAUUGCAUCACUCAAAGAUGAUCCCGCGUUGUAUUAGCUAGUUGGUGAGGUAAAGGCUCACCAAGGCGAUGAUACAUAGCCGACCUGAGAGGGUGAUCGGCCACAUUGGGACUGUGACACGGCCCAAACCCCUACGGGAGGCAGCAGUAGGGCAUCUUCGGCAAUGGACGAAAGUCUGACCGAGCAACGCCGCGUGAGUGAAGAAGGUUUUCGGGUCGUAAAACUCUGUUGGUAGCGAAGAACGUUGGUGAGAGUGGAAAGCUCAUCAAGUGACGGUAACUACCCAGAAAGGGACGGCUAACUACGUG
rnacentral:rRNA from 1 species